UACAAAAACACUAGAAUUUUGCGAUCAAAUCGAUCUGGAGAUUGAGGCGUUGAAUUUAUUGGGGAAUUUUUCACUUAAUGUUUCCAUUUAGCUCUUUCUCUGUAAAAGACUGUUCGUUCAACAUCCACAACUGGUUGAACAGAUGAAGAAUUUUGGAGGCCAAGGAAGGCAAUGGCAGCAAACAUAGAACCCAACGCAUUAAAAAGAUCUUGUUCCGUUCCACUGCAAUUUGAAGUUGCAAGAUAAAUUAUAAUGCAGCAAUCAACCACAGGAGUUCAAAUUUUCCCUCAGUAGACAUUAACUUACGUUUUAGAGCCGAUGUCCCAGCACAUUGUCCCAAAGGUCAAGGCUAUGGCAACUGUAAAGAGCAUUCUUGCAGCAGUGUAUGGUGGGUUCCGCCAGUAGGACCAGUGUUGUUUCCAUAAGCAUGCCUUGCUUUGUGUGAAAAAUGAUUGAGAGUAUUGGCUUGGGAAAUAGAGGUCCUUGGAACCAGGAGCUGGCUUGCUCAAUUGUUCAAUAAGUGCCUUGUUUCUCCUAAUGCAUUUGCAAUAAAAUAGCACAAGUGACAAAUAUCUUAUACACAUGGUCAA